ensembl:lncRNA
GGUAAUUGUUUUUGGCAUGAAAUUCCUCAUGGAAUAGAGCCGUUUUUUGUGGCUAACCGUAUAGGCAAAAGUCAUCCAUGAUUUGUCAUGUAAUGCCACAUGCAUCCAGAGUUGUGGCUCUUAACAAUUAAAUAUUUAAUUGCAGACUUUUGGAAUGAUCACAAAUAAGCACACUUUUUAUCCUUCUGUCUACAGUCAAUAACAUUUUUAAUUGAACACAUCUGGCAGUGAUGAAAAGGUAAUUUGAGUACAAAAAUAGGAUUUCUUCAAUAUUUAAUUAAUUUCUAUUUUCAGACAAAACCUACUAUUGCUCUUUCUAAAACUCUCUAGGCUGGUUUCAGACUGUUUUUUGUUAGGAUUCACAACAUAACUCAGGCUUCAACAAAAUUACUUUUAAUAACUCAAAAAUGUGCCUGGGAGCAAACAGGAAACAAGGUUAAGGAAACAUCAGAGCACAACGGUCAGGGUCAAAGGGGAAACCACGAAUAACACACAAACCGACGACAAUACAAGUGACACACAGGAUUAAAAGUGGACAUAUUAUUCCACUUUGACCCUGACCGUUUUGACCAUCAACCCUCAAAGGCUGGAAAAAACAACUUGCAGAUUUGUUUAUGAUUUCUUUAAUUCAUUAAUACUAAUUAAACAACCUGUUUCGAAGUUCUGGGGUUAGCCAGGUGAGUCCCUUAAAUGGCCUUGGCCCUCCCCCCAGCACAUCCCCCCCCAAACACGUCAAAGCACUCAACCCUCAAAAUGCACUGUAGUCAGCUGCACGAUUCUCUACAUGACAUCCCGGGCUUAGACGGUACAUGAAAGAAAUUGAAUCAUUUCAUAUAUGAAAACCAUGUGCCGGCAAGAAUUGGGAAAAAGCUGUGGGUUUGCGCAAUCAUUUUGAAACCUAUAUUGCACGAUUCGCGCAAAGAUUGGGCUGAUUCGUAGAGGAGGGCGGCUAAAAGAGACAAGCGCUGAAACACAACGUUUCGGACAAAAGGUAAAUACAGGAAUAUUAACACAGACAAUAGGAAAAAAAUGUGCUUUUCAAACAGCAUAUCAUGUGAACGUAUUAUGGUGGAAACACGUAAUACAAGUAUUGGUCCUAAAAUCAGCAUGAUAUGUCUUUAAAUACAGUGAGGAGGUGCAGGUGUUUGGACACAGGUGGGAACAAUCAGGGAUGAGGCACAAAGGAAGGCGGGCAAACACACCAGGAGAGGAAGUGAAGUUAACCCAGCCAGUCAGCUUGUAGGCUGAUAAUAGGCCUUGCCAAAAGGACAGGAUGCAAAUUAAGUCAAAGGUGACGGAGCAGGUCCAGUUUAAUGUUUUAUUUCUAAUGUAGAAUUGUAUAUUGGCAGGUAAGUUGAAAAAGGUUAGGCGAUCACGUUCAAUGCUAAUGGCAGCUCUUUGGCAGGGAACGAUGGAACUGGGCUGACAUAUGAAGUGAGAGGCAGAUGAGGCAACGAAAUGAGGGGAGUUGGGAGAGAGUGCACCAGCAGAAAGCACUAAUUGUGGAGCACCUGUGUAGAGGUCCUCAUUCCCUUUUUAAACCGGCACAGCGGAGAAGAGACACAAGUUACUCUACGGUUCGGUCCAAAGACGCCAAUGGUCGGUGAGAUUUUAUUUACUUUUGUUUAAAAUACUGAUUCAUGUUUAAAGCAUGGGUAACUGCGUAGAUUAGGGUGAAUCAUUGCAGCAUCAAGUUAAUUGUCAGGAUUUGCUAAAAUAUUUCAUUCAAUUUGAAAGUAUAAGAUGUUUAUUUAAAUGUAAACCCAGUUAAAAACUUAAUUUGGGAAUGUUUAAUGUGAAUGUUUUAAUUUUUAAAAGGUAAUUUGUUCUUUGUCUUUAAAGGUUUACAACCUAACUCUGAACUGGCAAAUCAGUGGACAAAGGCAAAAGAAAAACUAAAUAAAAGUGUUUGAGCCAGAAA